CCGACGACUCCAGCUCGGUCGGCCUCCCUCUACCCUAGCCUCGCUCUGGGCGCCGUGAUGUCACCUCUGUGACGUCAUCGGCGGGGCGGGGCGCCGGCGGGAGGGGCGGGGCGUCGUCGCGGGGUAGGUUUGUCCGGGGCGUUCUGGGAGAUGUAGUUCCUCUUUCUCCUGCCCGCCGGCAUCCCUCUGCCCCCUCCCCCAACCUCCCUACACACUUCAUUGCUCAACUGCCAGUGCCGUCGUUACCAUCCACAUAAACGAUGGUAGUAAACAAUGGCAGUAUGAUUACAUUCAUGUGCUUUAUGAACCACCCUCUCACGACAGUGUUACAAAGGGCUGUUUGGAUAUGGAGGAGGCCAGAGUGGCAAUUACUCAGACUGGCGUCCAAAUCUGGAAAUACCCACACCAGCGUGUUCUCUGCACUCUGCUCCCUCUUCAGAUGGAAAGAAUUUGUUUGCAGGGAUUGUAGACGACAGCAAGGCUUCCUCAGGGUUUGCAAACCAAGGGGUCAUUAAUCCUGCACACAAGACCAAUAAUCCCAGGAGUGCAGGAGAAGCGGCAAGGUGGCAAGAAAAGAAAUAAUGUGGUACUAACAUCCUUGUUCUACAGAAUUUGAGGCAUUUUGUUCACAGUGAGACAAGAUGAUGGACGAGACAAGCACCGCCACACCGUUUUCUGCUGUGCUGGAGCUCGCCUGGCCUUCCACCAACUCAGCUGCAUCUCUCAUCCCAUACAUUUCAUAACAACCAGAAAAGUCCAAAGGUCCCCAACACGGUCCAGAGCUGAGUAGUGGCAUGGACCUGUAAUCGCCGCACUUGGGAGGCUGAGGCAGGAAGAGUUUGAGUUCAGCAUGAACUACAUACAUAGCAAGAUCCAGACGAGCCUGAGCUAUGGAAUAUCAUCCCUUUUUAAAGUCAUAAAGACCGGACUCCACAAGUUGUCUUCUUACCUCCACCAGCACUCUCACAUAAUGAAUUAAUUAGUAAUGAAUUAAUUAGUAAAACCAUCUGGGAGUGGAAUCACAGACCUAUAAUCCCAGCAUUUAGGACAUGUUGCGGUGGAAGCAGGAAGAUUGGGAGUUUUGGGAGUUCGAGGUUGUCCUCGGCCAUAUAGCUAGUUUGAGGCCAGCCUGGGGUAUAUGAAACCCUAUCUCAAAAAAAAAAAAAAGAAAAAAAAAGAAAAAGAAAGAAUAAGUAAACAAAAUAAAAAUAAUAUUUGAGGAUAUGGACAUGGUGAUCCUCCUAAUUUAAUCAAUACACAUUGAUUGUGUUUAUAGAAUCGUUGUACCAUGCCCCAUAAAUACA